GAUGAACGCUGGCGGUAUGCUUAACACAUGCAAGUCGAACGGUGUCUUCGGACACAGUGGCGGACGGGUGAGUAACGCGUGAGAAUCUGCCAUCAGGUCUGGGACAACCACUGGAAACGGUGGCUAAUACCGGAUGUGCCCGUAAUUGGGUGAAAGGUUAACUGCCUGUUGAUGAGCUCGCGUCUGAUUAGCUAGUUGGAAGUGUAAUGGACUCCCAAGGCGACGAUCAGUAGCUGGUCUGAGAGGACGAUCAGCCACACUGGGACUGAGACACGGCCCAGACUCCUACGGGAGGCAGCAGUGGGGAAUUUUCCGCAAUGGGCGAAAGCCUGACGGAGCAAUACCGCGUGAGGGAGGAAGGCUCUUGGGUCGUAAACCUCUUUUCUCAGGGAAGAACACAAUGACGGUACCUGAGGAAUAAGCAUCGGCUAACUCCGUGCCAGCAGCCGCGGUAAUACGGAGGAUGCAAGCGUUAUCCGGAAUGAUUGGGCGUAAAGCGUCCGCAGGUGGCAAUGUAAGUCUGCUGUUAAAGAGUCUAGCUCAACUAGAUAAGAGCAGUGGAAACUACAUAGCUAGAGUACGUUCGGGGCAGAGGGAAUUCCUGGUGUAGCGGUGAAAUGCGUAGAGAUCAGGAAGAACACCAGUGGCGAAGGCGCUCUGCUAGGCCGUAACUGACACUGAGGGACGAAAGCUAGGGGAGCGAAUGGGAUUAGAUACCCCAGUAGUCCUAGCCGUAAACGAUGGAUACUAGGCGUGGCUUGUAUCGACCCGAGCCGUGCCGUAGCUAACGCGUUAAGUAUCCCGCCUGGGGAGUACGCCGGCAACGGUGAAACUCAAAGGAAUUGACGGGGGCCCGCACAAGCGGUGGAGUAUGUGGUUUAAUUCGAUGCAACGCGAAGAACCUUACCAAGGCUUGACAUGUCGCGAAUCUCGGUGAAAGCUGAGAGUGCCUUCGGGAGCGCGAACACAGGUGGUGCAUGGCUGUCGUCAGCUCGUGUCGUGAGAUGUUGGGUUAAGUCCCGCAACGAGCGCAACCCUCGUUUUUAGUUGCCAGCAUUAAGUUGGGCACUCUAGAGAGACUGCCGGUGACAAACCGGAGGAAGGUGGGGAUGACGUCAAGUCAGCAUGCCCCUUACGCCUUGGGCUACACACGUACUACAAUGCUCCGGACAGAGGGCAGCAAGCAUGCGAAUGCAAGCAAAUCCCGUAAACCGGAGCUCAGUUCAGAUCGCAGGCUGCAACUCGCCUGCGUGAAGGAGGAAUCGCUAGUAAUUGCAGGUCAGCAUACUGCAGUGAAUUCGUUCCCGGGCCUUGUACACACCGCCCGUCACACCAUGGAAGCUGGUAGUGCCCGAAGUCAUUACUCCAACCAUUCGUGGAGGAGGAUGCCUAAGGCAGGACUGGUGACUGGGGUGAAGUCGUAACAAGGUAGCCGUACCGGAAGGUGUGGCUGGAUCACCUCCUUU
rnacentral:rRNA from 1 species